GAUGAACGCUGGCGGCGUGCUUAACACAUGCAAGUCGAACGGGAAAUAUUUCAUUGAGACUUCGGUGGAUUUGAUCUAUUUCUAGUGGCGGACGGGUGAGUAACGCGUGGGUAACCUGCCUUAUACAGGGGGAUAACAGUCAGAAAUGGCUGCUAAUACCGCAUAAGCGCACAGAGCUGCAUGGCUCAGUGUGAAAAACUCCGGUGGUAUAAGAUGGACCCGCGUUGGAUUAGCUGGUUGGUGGGGUAACGGCCCACCAAGGCGACGAUCCAUAGCCGGCCUGAGAGGGUGAACGGCCACAUUGGGACUGAGACACGGCCCAGACUCCUACGGGAGGCAGCAGUGGGGAAUAUUGCACAAUGGGGGAAACCCUGAUGCAGCGACGCCGCGUGAAGGAAGAAGUAUCUCGGUAUGUAAACUUCUAUCAGCAGGGAAGAUAGUGACGGUACCUGACUAAGAAGCCCCGGCUAACUACGUGCCAGCAGCCGCGGUAAUACGUAGGGGGCAAGCGUUAUCCGGAUUUACUGGGUGUAAAGGGAGCGUAGACGGUGUGGCAAGUCUGAUGUGAAAGGCAUGGGCUCAACCUGUGGACUGCAUUGGAAACUGUCAUACUUGAGUGCCGGAGGGGUAAGCGGAAUUCCUAGUGUAGCGGUGAAAUGCGUAGAUAUUAGGAGGAACACCAGUGGCGAAGGCGGCUUACUGGACGGUAACUGACGUUG
rnacentral:rRNA from 1 species